rnacentral:rRNA from 1 species
GGAUGCGAUCAUUCCAGCACUAAUGCACCGGAUCCCAUCAGAACUUUGAAGUUAAGCGUGCUAGUACGAGAGUAGUACUAGGAUGGGUGACCCUCUGGGAAGUCCUCGUGUUGCAUCCC